CUACGGGGCGCUCCAGUGGGGAAUAUUGGGCAAUGGGCGCAAGCCUGAUGCAGCCAUGCCGCGUGUAUGAAGAAGGCCUUCGGGUUGUAAAGUACUUUCAGCGGGGAGGAAGGGAGUAAAGUUAAUACCUUUGCUCAUUGACGUUACCCGCAGAAGAAGCACCGGCUAACUCCGUGCCAGCAGCCGCGGUAAUACGGAGGGUGCAAGCGUUAAUCGGAAUUACUGGGCGUAAAGCGCACGCAGGCGGUUUGUUAAGUCAGAUGUGAAAUCCCCGGGCUCAACCUGGGAACUGCAUCUGAUACUGGUAAGCUUGAGUCUCGUAGAGGGGGGUAGAAUUCCAGGUGUAGCGGUGAAAUGCGUAGAGAUCUGGAGGAAUACCGGUGGCGAAGGCGGCCCCCUGGACGAAGACUGACGCUCAGGUGCGAAAGCGUGGGGAGCAAACAGGAUUAGAUACCCCUGUAGUC
rnacentral:rRNA from 1 species